UGUGGCCGCCGUGCAUCCCCGCGCCUCCGCAGACGACGUCGGCGCACGCAGAUAAAAAGCCGCCUGCCGCGACAGCUUCCGACAGCCGCCUCUUGUCCGCUCUGUAAUCGCACGCUCACAACCGGCGCCAUGAGGACACGCACGCUGCUGCUACUGCUUCUCGUGUUGGUGGCUACGGCCACACUCUUCGCCCCCGCGGCAGCCUGGAGGUGGCCCUGGGAGAAACCGAAAAUCAUUGCAGAGAUGAUCAAAAUGCGGCAGAGGUGUGGGUCCGGAACGGUGCGAGUCGGCAACAUGUGUAGAAGGGUCUACAUGGCAUGAGGUGGCUGGGGACAUUCAUAAUGUGGAAGACAUCACAACAGAAAAGAAAAUUGGAACCUUUUAUAUGUAAAUAAAUUUUGUACAGUUAUUUAUAAUGUAAAUAAUAAAUGUGAUACUGAUGCAAA